rnacentral:rRNA from 1 species
CUGUGAAUGGCUUAUUAAACCAGUUAUGAAUUGUAUAAUAAUUAUUUUAAAAGUGGAAUAUAUUUGGUAAUUCUAAGGCUAAUACAUAGAUAUUUUGUUUUAUUAAAAAAUUAUUUUAUUAUAAAGAAGAUAUUUUAUAUUUUGGUAUAAAAAUGCUUGAAAGUAUAUWAUUACGAGAAAUUCAUUAAUUAAUGAGUUUAUGAUAAUGUUUUUGACCUAUCAGUUUUUGAUAAUAUAGUAUAGGUUUAUUAUGGCUUUGACAGGUAACGGAAAAUUAGGGUUUGAUUCCGGAGAGGGAGCUUGAGAUAUAGUUAUCACAUCUAAGGAAGGCAACAGGCGCGUGAAUUACCCACUUUUAAUAUGAAGAGGUAGUUAUGAAAAAUAACAAUUCAGGAUAAGUUAAUUGUUUUGUAGUUGGAAUAUAAUUUAUUUAUAAAAUCUAUUGAGUAUUGAUUAGAGGGCAAGCCUGGUGCCAGCAGCCGCGGUAAUUCCAGCUC